rnacentral:rRNA from 1 species
UACAGAGGUCCCAAGCGUUGUUCGGAUUCACUGGGCGUAAAGGGUGCGCAGGUGGGUUUGCAAGUUCGAUGUGAAAGCCCCGGGCUUAACCCGGGAAUGGCAUUGGAUACUGCAGAUCUGGAGGAUCGGAGGGGAGACUGGAAUUCCUGGUGUAGCGGUGAAAUGCGCAGAUAUCAGGAGGAACACCGGUGGCGAAGGCGGGUCUCUGGGCCGAUACUGACGCUGAGGAGCGAAAGCGUGGGGAGCGAACAGG